UACGUAGGGUCCGAGCGUUGUCCGGAAUUACUGGGCGUAAAGAGCUCGUAGGUGGUUUGUCGCGUUGUCCGUGAAAACUCACAGCUCAACUGUGGGCGUGCGGGCGAUACGGGCAGACUGGAGUACUGCAGGGGAGACUGGAAUUCCUGGUGUAGCGGUGGAAGUGCGCCAGAUAGUCAGGAGGAACACCGGUGGCGAAGGCGGGUCUCUGGGCCGAUACUGACGCUGGAGGAGCGAAAGCGUGGGGAGCGAACAGG
rnacentral:rRNA from 1 species